AACGAACGCUGGCGGCAGGCCUAACACAUGCAAGUCGAACGCCCUAGCAAUAGGGAGUGGCAGACGGGUGAGUAACACGUGGGAACGUGCCCUUCGGUUCGGAAUAACUCAGGGAAACUUGAGCUAAUACCGGAUACGUGCGAGAGCAGAAAGCUUUAUCGCCGAAGGAUCGGCCCGCGUCCGAUUAGCUAGUUGGUGAGGUAAUGGCUCACCAAGGCGACGAUCGGUAGCUGGUCUGAGAGGAUGACCAGCCACACUGGGACUGAGACACGGCUCAGACUCCUACGGGAGGCAGCAGUGGGGAAGAUUGGACAAUGGGCGCAAGCCUGAUCCAGCCAUGCCACGUGAGUGAUGAAGGCCCUAGGGUUGUAAAGCUCUUUCGCCAGGGACGAUAAUGACGGUACCUGGAUAAGAAGCCCCGGCUAACUUCGUGCCAGCCGCCGCCGUAA
rnacentral:rRNA from 1 species